rnacentral:rRNA from 1 species
GAGUUUGAUCCUGGCUCAGGAUGAACGCUAGCGGCAGGCUUAAUACAUGCAAGUCGAGGGGCAGCAGCUUUAUAGCAAUAUAGAGGCUGGCGACCGGCAAACGGGUGCGGAACACGUACACAACCUUCCUUGAAUAGGGGGAUAGCCCAUAGAAAUGUGGAUUAAUACCCCGUAAUAUAGCGGUGUGGCAUCACACUGUUAUUAUAGUUUYGGCGAUUCGAGAUGGGUGUGCGGCUGAUUAGGUAGUUGGCGGGGUAAAGGCCCACCAAGCCUUCGAUCAGUAGCUGAUGUGAGAGCAUGAUCAGCCACACGGGCACUGAGACACGGGCCCGACUCCUACGGGAGGCAGCAGUAAGGAAUAUUGGUCAAUGGACGCAAGUCUGAACCAGCCAUGCCGCGUGAAGGAUGAAGGUCCUCUGGAUUGUAAACUUCUUUUAUAGGGGGCGAAAAAAGGUCUUCUAGAUCACUGACAGUACCCCUA